rnacentral:tRNA from 1 species
GCCUAGUUAGCUUGGUUGGUAGCGCGUCUGCCUCGUAAGCGCUAGGCCGCGGGUUCGAUUCCCGCGCGGGGCG